UACAGAGGUCUCAAGCGUUGUUCGGAUUCAUUGGGCGUAAAGGGUGCGUAGGCUGCGAGGAGGGUGGGGUGUGAAAUCCCUCGGCCUAACCGAGGAAUUGCGCUCCAAACCGCCUUGCUGGAGUGAGACAGAGGUGAGCGGAACUAAUGGUGGAGCGGUGAAAUGCGUUGAUAUCAUUAGGAACACCAGAGGCGAAGGCGGCUCACUGGGUCUCAACUGACGCUGAUGCACGAAAGCUAGGGUAGCGAACGGG
rnacentral:rRNA from 1 species